rnacentral:lncRNA from 1 species
UUCUUUUUCUUCUUCUUUGUUUUCUUUACGGGGAGCUAGUACUUGUUCUUGCAAAACAGAAUACAAAACACAUGAGUGAAGAGAUUUGCGCCGCGCGAACUUGUCGUGGCAGCUUUUCUUCUCAUUCCAGUAUUCAUUCAAGGUACAAGGAGUAAGAGCUUCAUCGGCCGGUGCAGGCUCCAUGGCCCAUCGACAGCGAUAUCGGCGUCACAGUCCUUGAGAGCACAAUCAAUCACAGCGAUAUCAGCAUUUGCCAUCCAUCGUGUAAAAGAUCCGGAGCAACGGGAAGGGAAGUUUGUGCGAGCAAGUUUCACGGAAACAAAGGUAGGGCAUGAACGCGCAGAUCGGAUAAGGCUAAGCGGCAAAAGCGGUGCGUGGGCUGUGUGGGCCAGCACAAGGACGCGUGGCACGUAUACGAGACGGCUUACACCGAAUUAAAAUCAGUCGGGCAAAUUCAAGACUUUUCCAAUCUUUAUGGGUAAUGCAAACUCUAUGAAAGAAAUCCCAGCUCCAUGCAUAGCAUCAGAACUAAGAAAAAACAAAACUGAUUUUGUGAGAGAAUAAUCAAACGAGAUCAGAUUCACGCAGGCACUUGAAACCAGUACUUGUUCUUUUUCUUCUUCUUUGUUUUCUUUACGGGGAGCUAGUACUUGUUCUUGCAAAACAGAAUACAAAACACAUGAGUGAAGAGAUUUGCGCCGCGCGAACUUGUCGUGGCAGCUUUUCUUCUCAUUCCAGUAUUCAUUCAAGGUACAAGGAGUAAGAGCUUCAUCGGCCGGUGCAGGCUCCAUGGCCCAUCGACAGCGAUAUCGGCGUCACAGUCCUUGAGAGCACA